AGACCUACUAAAUGUAUUGUUGUUAAGU
rnacentral:sRNA from 1 species